CACGUAGGGCGCAAGCGUUGUCCGGAAUUAUUGGGCGUAAAGAGCUCGUAGGCGGUCUGUUGCGUCCGCUGUGAGAACUCGGGGCUUAACCCCGAGCCUGCAGUGGAUACGGGCAGACUAGAGUGAUGUAGGGGAGACUGGAAUUCCUGGUGUAGCGGUGAAAUGCGCAGAUAUCAGGAGGAACACCGAUGGCGAAGGCAGGUCUCUGGGCAUUAACUGACGCUGAGGAGCGAAAGCAUGGGGAGCGAACAGG
rnacentral:rRNA from 1 species